UAGGGGUGGAAACGAGCCGAGCUCGAGCGAGCUUAUGUCAGCUCAAAUUCGGCUUGAAAUUAAUUUCGAGCUUAAAUCUAGGCUCAAGCUCGGCUUGAAAUUAAUUCGAGCCGAGCUCGAGCGAGCCUAAUUUCGAGUCGAGCCGAGCUCGAGCUCUAAACGAGCCGAUUGAAAUUCUCGACAUUAUAUAAUCAAUAGUUUAAUUUUUAUAGAACAUUACCUAUAAUUUGAUGCAACAUGUUCAAUAGUUCAAAAUACAAAAUAAUUGUAAGAAAUGUGAGCUAGGGUGACUGCCUGACUGGGUGAGGGUCAGAGAGAGAGAGAGAGAGAGGAAAAAAAAUUAGGGAUUUGAGAAUUUGAAUGUUAUCAUGUUUUAGGGUUAUGUGCAACAGUGAAAGUCUGAAAGAGAGAGUGUGUUAUGUAAAUUUAGAGUUGGGCUCAAUUGCACGGUUGUACUUGUUGGGUUUAUUUUAUGGGCCAACAAUAAUGGCCCAAAUUAAAUUAAAACCUAUAUAUAAUUAAAAUACAUUAUAUAUAUAUAUAUAUAUUCGAGCUUUUCGAGCUUUUCGAGCCUAAUUCGAACGAGCCGAGUAAUACUCAAGCUCGGCUUGAAAUGAAUUUCGAGCCUUUUAUUUUGUUCAAGCUCGGCUCAUUUAAUUUCGAGUCGAGCUCGAGCGAGCCAAAUAUCGAGCCGAACACGAGUCGAACGCGAGCCGGCUCGCUCGUUUGCCAGCCCUACUUUUAUGCGGUGGUCAUGCCACAUUACCUAUAUUCUAACCAAUUAAAUCUCUCUUUUCAAAAUAAAAGUAUUAUAAUAAAAAUAUAUUUUCAAAAACCAUGGUGAGAUAGAUAAAUCUUAGAAACCAAACAUGUUUCUUUGGAGAUACCAUAUUAUUUAUAUAACUGUUAUAUUUUAAAAUUUCUUAGAAUUAGAAUAUAUGUUUAAAUAGAAAAAUAUAUAAAUACUGUUCUCUAAAAGCUUAAAUUUUUAGAGUAUAAUAAUUAUUUUAUAUAGUAUCAGAGUAGAAGGUGCCGAAUUCGAGUCGCGUUAGACUCCUAAUAUUAUUAAUUUUCUUCUAUUUAAUUUAAGUCCACAUCACGGGCUUUGUGAAAAGUCUCGAGGCUAAACGUGACUAUGUGAAGGGGAGUGUUAAAUAGAAAAAUAUGUAAAUAUCAUUCUUUAAUAGCUUAAGCUUUUACCGUUUGGUUCGGGGUUAAGGAAAAACUAGUUAUUCCAGGAAUAGAGUUAAGUUCAAGAUUAAGGUGGGGUUAGAGUAUUUUUGUAUUUGGUUGGGGAUUGGAGUUAGUCCAGGAUAGUGAAAAAUAGUAUUUGGUUGGAGUAGAUGGGAUAAGAAGGAUAGUGGAUUAUUAUGAAUAUAAAAUAGUAUUUGGUUCGGGUUUGAUGGAAUUAGGUGGGGUUAGCUCUAACCCCACCCAAAAUGGACUAUUCCGGAUUAGGUGGGAUUAGCUAACCCCACCCAUUUUUGAAGGUAUUUGGAAAUAAUAUAGGAGUUAAGAGGUUAUUCCACCCCUUAAUCCCCAACCAAACAAAUUAGAAUACAAAGAUUGUUUCAAAGUCUGAGU
rnacentral:lncRNA from 1 species